UCAGGACGAACGCUGGCGGCGUGCUUAACACAUGCAAGUCGAACGGGAAGGCCCUGCUUUUGUGGGGUGCUCGAGUGGCGAACGGGUGAGUAACACGUGAGUWACCUGCCCUUGACUUUGGGAUAACUUCAGGAAACUGGGGCUAAUACCGGAUAGGAGCUCCUGCUGCAUGGUGGGGGUUGGAAAGUUUCGGCGGUUGGGGAUGGACUCGCGGCUUAUCAGCUUGUUGGUGGGGUAGUGGCUUACCAAGGCUUUGACGGGUAGCCGGCCUGAGAGGGUGACCGGCCACAUUGGGACUGAGAUACGGCCCAGACUCCUACGGGAGGCAGCAGUGGGGAAUAUUGCACAAUGGGCGGAASCUGAUGCAGCAACGCCGCGUGCGGGAUGACGGCCUUCGGGUUGUAAACCGCUUUCGCCUGUGACGAAGCGUGAGUUACGGUAAUGGGUAAAGAAGCACCGGCUAACUACGUGCCAGCAGCCGCGGUGAUACGUAGGGUGCGAGCGUUGUCCGGAUUUAUUGGGCGUAAAGGGCUCGUAGGUGGUUGAUCGCGUCGGAAGUGUAAUCUCGGGGCUUAACCCUGAGCGUGCUUUCGAUACGGGUUGACUUGAGGAAGGUAGGGGAGAAUGGAAUUCCUGGUGGAGCGGUGGAAUGCGCAGAUAUCAGGAGGAACACCAGUGGCGAAGGCGGUUCUCUGGGCCUUUCCUGACGCUGAGGAGCGAAAGCGUGGGGAGCGAACAGGCUUAGAUACCCUGGUAGUCCACGCUGUAAACGGUGGGUACUAGGUGUGGGGUCCAUUCCACGGGUUCCGUGCCGUAGCUAACGCUUUAAGUACCCCGCCUGGGGAGUACGGCCGCAAGGCUAAAACUCAAAGGAAUUGACGGGGCCCCGCACAAGCGGCGGAGCAUGCGGAUUAAUUCGAUGCAACGCGUAGAACCUUACCUGGGUUUGACAUGGAUCGGGAGUGCUCAGAGAUGGGUGUGCCUCUUUUGGGGUCGGUUCACAGGUGGUGCAUGGCUGUCGUCAGCUCGUGUCGUGAGAUGUUGGGUUAAGUCCCGCAACGAGCGCAACCCUUGUUCACUGUUGCCAGCACGUUAUGGUGGGGACUCAGUGGAGACCGCCGGGGUCAACUCGGAGGAAGGUGGGGAUGACGUCAAGUCAUCAUGCCCCUUAUGUCCAGGGCUUCACGCAUGCUACAAUGGCUGGUACAGAGAGUGGCGAGCCUGUGAGGGUGAGCGAAUCUCGGAAAGCCGGUCUCAGUUCGGAUUGGGGUCUGCAACUCGACCUCAUGAAGUCGGAGUCGCUAGUAAUCGCAGAUCAGCAACGCUGCGGUGAAUACGCUCCCGGGGCUUGUACACACCGCCCGUCAAUCACUAGUGCG
rnacentral:rRNA from 1 species